GAUGAACGCUGGCGGCGUGCCUAAUACAUGCAAGUCGAGCGAACGGACGAGAAGCUUGCUUCUUUGAUGUUAGCGGCGGACGGGUGAGUAAAACGUGGAUAACCUACCUAUAAGACUGGGAUAAAUUCGGGAAGCGGAGUUAAAUCCGGGUAAUAUUUUGAAACGGAUGGUUCAAAAGGGUAAGGAGGCCUUGCUGGAACUUAUGGGUGGAUCCGCGCUGCAUUAGCUAGUUGGUAAGGGAACGGCUUACCAAGGCAACGAUGCAUAGCCGGCCUGAGAGGGUGAUCGGCCACACUGGAACUGAGACACGGUCCAGACUCCUACGGGAGGCAGCAGUAGGGAAUCUUCCGCAAUGGGCGAAAGCCUGACGGAGCAACGCCGCGUGAGUGAUGAAGGUCUUCGGAUCGUAAAGCUCUGUUAUUAGGGAAGAACAUAUGUGUAAGUAACUGUGCACAUCUUGACGUUACCUAAUCAGAAAGCCACGGCUAACUACGUG
rnacentral:rRNA from 1 species